rnacentral:rRNA from 1 species
AUACGUAGGGGGCGAGCGUUGUCCGGAAUGAUUGGGCGUAAAGGGCGCGUAGGCGGCGCGGUAAGUCUGGAGUGAAAGUCCUGCUUUCAAGGUGGGAAUUGCUUUGGAUACUGCCGCGCUUGAGUGCAGGAGAGGUUAUCGGAAUUCCCGGUGUAGCGGUGAAAUGCGUAGAGAUCGGGAGGAACACCAGUGGCGAAGGCGGGUAACUGGACUGCAACUGACGCUGAGGCGCGAAAGUGUGGGGAGCAAACAGGAUUAGAUACCCUGGUAGUCCACACUGUAAACGAUGAAUGCUAGGUGUAAGAGGUAUCGACCCCUUUUGUGCCGGAGUUAACACAAUAAGCAUUCCGCCUGGGGAGUACGGCCGCAAGGUUGAAACUCAAAUGAAUUGACGGGG